rnacentral:misc_RNA from 1 species
AAGGAAUAGAAGAAGAGAGAAGAGUGGAGAAAGAAUAGAAUUUACGAAGAAAAGAAUGAGAAUUUCAUUGAUAAUAUUCUGGAAUGACCAUCUCAGAGCUAUUACAGCUCUUUUUAUAUCCUAAUUCCUGCCAACUACAAGUUGGACAUCUAGUAACUGCCUCUAAUUAAUUUCCCUCUAAAUGCAAGCUGAUUUUUGUUGACUUUUCUUGCUUUCAUACCUAUAACUGCCCUUCUCUUUAUUUUCUUUAUUCCUAUACCUCUUCUUAUGUAACAAUACCCCCUCCUUGAGAACGUUCUUGUCCCCAAGAACGUUUAAAAUCUAGAAAUUGAGCUUGAAUGAAGGUUCUAUCCUCCCAAGUAGCAUCUUCAAGUGACAAAUUUGUUCACUGAAUAAAAUCUUGUAUGACCUGUUGGUGAUUCCUGAAGAAUGGUUCUUGUUUGCAACACUUUUUUUUCUUCCUGCACUAUAGAAGACUAAUUUCUUUCUUUGCCUUCUUGA